UACGGAGGAGGCAAGCGUUAUCCGGAAUUAUUGGGCGUAAAGCGUCCGUAGGUGGUUCACCAAGUCUGCUGUCAAAGGGUGGGGCUUAACCUCAUAAAGGCAGUGGAAACUGGUGAGCUAGAGUGCGGUAGGGGUAAGGGGAAUUCCCAGUGUAGCGGUGAAAUGCGUAGAGAUUGGGAAGAACAUCGGUGGCGAAAGCGCCUUACUGGGCCUGCACUGACACUGAGGGACGAAAGCUAGGGGAGUGAAAGGG
rnacentral:rRNA from 1 species